GUGUUGCAAUUCCGUCCUUUCACAGCGCGAAUUGUUUUUAUUCCAAGCAGGAUGGACGAUAAAAAUAAGUUUAUCCCAAAAGCAGUCGCUCCUGAAAAUAGAAAGACAAGAAUCUAUCCCUCUUCAGAACCUAAGGAAACGGAUAAACCAAAA